UUUUUUUUCUUUUCUUUUUUUUUUCAACAGCGUUUAGUAACACUACUCUAAAAUCAGGAUAGUCUUAUUUGUUACUUGUGUAAAUGAAUCAGAUAAAUCAAGAUGGUGUUAUUUAUGUGAAAUACAAUGUUUACCACCUGUGAUGCAUGUUAUACAUGCACAUAUUAAAAAUACAUGUUUUUCUGUAAAGAAACAUGUAUAACAUAUGUUGCUAAGAAUUCUUUUUCCUUAAUGAAUCAGGAUACUGUUCUGUAUAAAACUGAAAACAUUCUGUGCUUAGAGAUAUAUAUAUACAAAAGUUAUUUCUAAGAUUGCUAGUUAUGUGAACAAAUCAGGAUAAUGGUAUUUUUGUGAAACCCUACAUUCACCAAUUUGUACUUCACAUGUAAAAGAUGAUUGUAAGAAGGCUACUGGCCUGAAUGAAUCAGAUUAGUCUCAUUUCCUAGAAUUGCUAUGUCCAGCACCCUGAGUUGCAUGUUAUUCAUUCUCUAAAAAGAGAUGAUAAAAGAUGUUUAUAAGAAUGCUUGCUCUGUGGAUGAAUGAGGACAGGGUUAUUUCUGUGAAACACUGUGUUCAACAAAUGAGUGCCGCAGACGCCGCCUCCAACACUGGGGAUUAUAAUUCGACAUGAGAUUGGUGGAGACACUGAUACGGUUUGGCUCUGUAUCCCCACCCAAAUCUCAUCUCUAAUUGUAAUCCCCAUAUGUCAAGGGAGGAUCCUGGUGGGAGGUGAUUCGAUCAUGGGGGUUGUUUCUGCCAUGCUGUUCUUGUGACAGAGUUCUCACGAGAUUGGGUUGUUUGAUAAGCGGCACCUCUCCCUUCUGACUCUCUCCUGCCACCAUGUAAGACAUGCCUUGCUUCCCCUUCACCUUCCGCCACGAUUGUAAGUUUCCCGAGACCUCUCGAGCCAUACAGAACUGUGUGUCCAUUAAACCUCCUUUCUUUUCUUUCUUUAAACCAAUGAAACCAUUUUAUUACUGUUAAUCAGUUACUUAGAAAUCACUUUUACUAGAGUUUAGACUACUAACACCUUAGGGAGACUAUUCUCUCUUUUUUUCAUUAUUAUUUUUCAAAAGAGAGAAUGUUUCCGCUAUUCCUGAAAUUAGUAUGUUGAGGAAAUCUUUCCAUUAUCAGUAUCAUUUAAAUGAUGUUGAAGUCUGGGGAAAAGUAAAUUUUUUCCAAGGCUACACACAUAUCUAUUCUUUGAAUAUAGGAAACUGAAUAUGCAAAUCCAGACAGUUGCAGAAUUUUCACUGAGAGUCUGAGAAUGGGUAAGUGUGUUACUGUGAAUGGACUCUAUAGGCAGUAUUAAUUGUUUGCUUUCAGACACCAUCUCUCAGUGUGAGAUCUCAAAGUCCCAAAAAUCAAGUGUUGUUUCUUCCGUCUUUGUUCUUUGCUUCUUUCUUUUUUUUUUUUAAUUAUACUUUAAGUUCUGGGAUACAUGUCCAGAACGUGCAGGUUUGUAACAUAGGUAUACAUAGGCCAUGGUGUGAACCUCCUUUCUUUAUAAAUUACUCAGUCUCAGGUAGUAUCUUUAUAGCAGUGUGAGA
rnacentral:lncRNA from 1 species